AGUUAAGAUACAAAGGGCAUACGGUGGAUGCCUUGGCGAUAUCAGCCGAUGAAGGACGCGAUCAGCUGCGAAAAGCUGCGGUGAGCCGCAAGUAGGCGUUGACCCGCAGAUAUCCGAAUGGAGCAAUCCGGCAGCAGCAGUGCUGUCAUCCCUAUUCGACCGAAUAGGGAAGGGAACCCGGUGAACUGAAACAUCUAAGUAGCCGGAGGAAAAGAAAUCAAACGAGAUACCCCAAGUAGCGGCGAGCGAACGGGGCAGACGCCCAAACCGAUAAAGGAAACUUUAACGGGGUAGAGGACCCGGUAACAAUGCCACGAAUUUAGCCGAAGAGUACUGGAACGUACCGCCGAAGACGGUGACAGCCCGGUAGGCGAAAGAGGAGUGGCAGGACUGGGAAUCCGGAGUACCGCGGGACACGUGAAACCCCGUGGGAAGCAGGGGGGACCACCCUCCAAGGCAAAACACUGAUAUCGACCGAUAGCGCAUAGUACCGUGAGGGAAAGGUGAAAAGCACCCCGGGAGGGGAGUGAAAGAGAACCUGAAACCGUAUGUUUACAAACAGUCGAAGCACGUUAUGAAUCGUGCGACGGCGUGCCUAUUGAAGAAUGAACCGGCGAGUUACUACUACUGGCAAGGUUAAGGAGGAAAUCCGGAGCCGCAGCGAAAGCGAGUCUGAACAGGGCGCAAGUCAGUAAGAGUAGACCCGAAACCACAGUGAUCUACCCAUGUCCAGAUUGAAACACAGGUAAAAUUGUGUGGAGGAUCGAACCUAUGAGUGUUGAAAAACUUUAGGAUGAGAUGUGGGUAGGGGUGAAAUUCCAAUCGAACGUGGAGAUAGCUGGUUCUCCCCGAAAUAUCUUUAGGGAUAGCCUUAAGGAGAGACUAUAGGCGGUAGAGCACUGAUCGGGCUAGGGACCAAACCGGUUACUGAACCCAGUCAAACUACGAAUGGCUAUAGUUAUACUUAGGAGUCAGACUACGAGUGAUAAGAUCCGUGGUCAAGAGGGAAACAGCCCAGACCAUCAGCUAAGGUCCCCAAUGCCGUGCUAAGUGGGAAAGGAUGUAGCAUUUCACAAACAACCAGGAUGUUGGCUUAGAAGCAGCCAUCAUUAAAAGAGUGCGUAAUAGCUCACUGGUCGAGAGACGCUGCGCCGAAAAUACCCGGGGCUCAAGCACGGAACCGAAGCUAUGGCAUGCGUAAGCAUGGGUAGGGGAGCGUUCUGCAUAGGUAGAAGCAUGACCGUAAGGACAUGUGGACAGUGCAGAAGUGAGAAUGCCGGUAUGAGUAUCGAAAAGAAUGGUGAGAAUCCAUUCCACCGAAAGCCUAAGGGUUCCUGAGCAACGAUCGUCGGCUCAGGGUAAGUCGGGACCUAAGCCGAGGCGAAGACGCAUAGGCGAUGGACAACAGGUUGAAAUUCCUGUACUGACGUUAUUUGUUUGAGCAAUGGAGUGACACAGGAAGGUACAGCAGCACGCGACUGGAAGAGCGUGUCUAAGCGCGUACGUUGGUAACGAGGCAAAUCCCGUUACCUGAAAGCGGAGGCGUGAUGGGGAGACAUUGGAAACAAUGGGGAACUGCUGGAUCCUCGACUGUCGAGAAAAGCUUCUAGUGAGAAUGAUGUCACCCGUACCAAAACCGACACAGGUAGGCGAGAAGAGAAUUCUAAGGUGCGCGGGAAAACCCUACGUUAAGGAACUCGGCAAAAUGCAUCCGUAACUUCGGGAAAAGGAUGACCUUCGGUACGUAACGACCAGCAACGGUCCGAGCGGAAGAAGGUGACACAAGAGAGGCCCAAGCGACUGUUUACCAAAAACACAGGUGCCUGCGAAAGCGAAAGCUGAAGUAUAGGUGCUGACGCCUGCCCGGUGCUGGAAGGUUAAGAGGAGAGGUUAGCGUAAGCGAAGCUUUGAAUUGAAGCCCCAGUAAACGGCGGCCGUAACUAUAACGGUCCUAAGGUAGCGAAAUUCCUUGUCGGGUAAGUUCCGACCCGCACGAAAGGCGUAACGAUGCAACUUGAGAUUGGAUCUCGGUGACAAAUGUACAGGAUAGGUGGGAGACUUUGAACUGAUGGCGCCAGCUGUCAGGGAGUCGAUGUUGGGAUACCACCCUUUUGUGACUGAGAUUCUAACGCCAAGCGUAACGAACUUGCGGACAUUCUCAGGCGGGCGGUUUGACUGGGGCGGUCGCCUCCGAAAGAGUAACGGAGGCGCCCAAAGGUUCCCUCAGCGCGGACGGAAAUCGCGCGAAGAGUGUAAAGGCAGAAGGGAGCUUGACUGCGAGACCAACAAGUCGAGCAGGGACGAAAGUCGGGCUUAGUGAUCCGGUGGUUCCGAGUGGAAGGGCCAUCGCUCAACGGAUAAAAGCUACCCUGGGGAUAACAGGCUAAUCUCUCCCAAGAGUCCAUAUCGACGGGGAGGUUUGGCACCUCGAUGUCGGCUCAUCACAUCCUGGGGCUGAAGUAGGUCCCAAGGGUUGGGCUGUUCGCCCAUUAAAGUGGUACGUGAGCUGGGUUCAGAACGUCGUGAGACAGUUCGGUCCCUAUCCAUCGCGGGCGCAAGAAACUUGAAGGGGGCUGCUCCUAGUACGAGAGGACCGGAGUGGACGGACCAAUGGUGUACCAGUUAUUCUGCCAAGAGUACAGCUGGGUAGCUACGUCCGGGACGGAUAAACGCUGAAAGCAUCUAAGCGUGAAACCAGCCUUGAGAUGAGGUUUCUCAUAACAAAAGUUAGUAAGACCCCUUGUAGACGACAAGGUAGAUAGGCCGGGAGUGGAAGUGCCGCAAGGCACGGAGCGGACCGGUACUAAUCGGUCGAGGGCUUAACUUA
rnacentral:rRNA from 1 species